rnacentral:misc_RNA from 1 species
GAUGAAUAACGUAGCGAAAUGCGAUAAGUAAUGUGAAUUGCAGAAUUUAGUGAAUCAUCGAAUCUUUGAACGCACAUUGCGCCCCCUGGUAUUCCGGGGGGCAUGCCUGUCCGAGCGUCAUUACAACCCUCAAGCUCAGCUUGGUGUUGGGCCCCGCCGCCCCGGCGGGCCCUAAAGUCAGUGGCGGUGCCGUCCGGCUCCGAGCGUAGUAAUUCUUCUCGCUCUGGAGGUCCGGUCGUGUGCUCGCCAGCAACCCCCAAUUUUUUUCAGGUUGACCUCGGAUCAGGUAGGGAUACCCGCUGAACUUAAGCAUAUCAAUAAGCGGGAGGA